CCGUCGGAUCUAUCGAUAUCU
rnacentral:snRNA from 1 species